rnacentral:rRNA from 1 species
GAUGAACGCUAGCGGCAGGCUUAAUACAUGCAAGUCGAACGGUAACAGGUCUUUCGGGAUGCUGACGAGUGGCGCACGGGUGAGUAACGCGUACAAAAUCUGCCUUUGUCAGGGGGAAAGUCACUGGAAACGGUGAAUAAUCCCGCAUACGAUUACAGGAGGGCAUCCUUUUGUGAUGAAAAUUACGAUGGACAAAGAUGAUUGUGCGUCUGAUUAGCUAGAUGGUAAGGUAACGGCUUACCAUGGCGACGAUCAGUAGGGGGCGUGAGAGCGUGAUCCCCCACACGGGUACUGAGACACGGACCCGACUCCUACGGGAGGCAGCAGUAAGGAAUAUUGGUCAAUGGAGGGAACUCUGAACCAGCCAUGCCGCGUGCGGGAAGACGGCCCUAUGGGUUGUAAACCGCUUUUAUAUGGGAAGAAUGGCAUACAUUUAUGUAUGAAGAGACGGUACCAUAUGAAUAAGCACCGGCUAACUCCG